rnacentral:rRNA from 1 species
AUUGAACGCUAGCGGCAGGCCUAACACAUGCAAGUCGAACGAGUGGCGGACGGGUGAGUAAUGUCUGGGAAACUGCCUGGUAGAGGGGGAUAACUACUGGCAAGGGUAGCUAAUACCGCAUACCAUCGGAUCAGCCCAGAUGGGAUUAGCUAGUAGGUGGGGUAAAGGCGCACUCAGGCAACGAUCCGUAGCUGGUCUGAGAGGAUGACCAGCCACACUGUAACUGAGACCCGGGCCAGACUCCUACGGGAGGCAGAAGUGGGGAAUUUUGCACAAUGGGGGCAACCCUGAUGCAGCCAGCCCGCGUGUAUGAUGAAGGCCUUCGGGUUGUAAAGUACUUUGAGCAGUGAGGCGGUAUCUGCAGAAUAAGCACCGGCUAACUCCGUGCCAGCAGCCGCGGUAAUAC